CUCCGUGAUAUACUUCCGUUCCGCCCCACGUCGGUUAACCCGACCUGGGGUCUGAAGCCCUAACGGCCGGAGGGCGCAAAGUUCGUCUCGUCCCUGAUCGCGUUGUGCGCCUGCCUCGACGAGGUAGAAGUUUGAUGGAGCCUUCCUUAUUUGCAUCUUCCCCUGAUAAAUCAGAAUUGGAUCUUAAGUCAUCAUUUAGAAAACCCACAAAUGAUGCAACUAGUCGCAAGUAUCAACGCCAUUCACCUGUUGGUAGAUCAGAUUCAUCUUCAUCUGGUGGCAGCCCUAGUCCCACUUCACCCAAGGGAAGUUCAUACUAGGACACCUGAUGAUCAGCAGAGAAAGGAUGCUGGAAGAGAAUCAGAAAGGGAUUCUGGUAGUAUUAGGUCCAGUAGAGGACAUGAUUCUCGGAAGCAUGCUGAGAGGCAUUCGCAUGCAAAUUCCCAUGACUACAGGAGGCAUGAUGAUUAUAGCAGGUAUCACAGGCAUGUUGAUGAGAAUAAUAGGAAUUAUCAGAUGUCAUCUAGGGCUGGUCGAGAAUCAAGGGACUAUCGUCACUCUGAUGACACAGAAAGUGAGAGAAUAUCUGAUGAAAACUGAGAUAAUCGGCGAAAUGUUGACAAUCACUCUAAAGAAAAAACUGAUAUUUCAGAGCAUAAGAACAAGAAUAAGGAAAGAGAACCUGAUAAAGACUAUGACAGAGAUAUCAGUGCCUCACGACUGAAGGAAAGUGAAAAAAGUAAUAAGAAGGAUUUCCAUGGUCAGGAGGAUCUGGUCUUAAAGAGGAAGUAUAUUGGAAGGGAAGUUGACAAACACAGGGAGAAAUAUACCAGGGUAAGAGAAGAAUUUCAGACAGAAAAACAAAGUUUCAGUCACCGAGAAAGAGAUGGAAAGAAUGAAAAAAAUGUUGAUAAAGCCUCUGAUUUGAUAAACAGGGAUUCAUCCAUAGAGGUUAAUGCUGUAGGUGAUGUGCCAUCAUCAAGUUCAAGGCAGGAUAAGCAAAAUAUUUAUGAGAAUAGAAAAUAUUUGGUUCUGAUUUAUUUGUAUGGCUUCUAUGUACUAAUGGUAUGGAAAAGGAAAAAAGGGGAAUAAUAAAGAAAUGACAUGAUAACAAGAAAGAGAGUUUCGUUUGCUCGAGGAAUUGAAGAACCCUUAAUAAAUUCUGUUGGGCCAUCAUGGAUCAUUUGAGAAUCUUAGGUUAUCUCGGAAAUUUUUCUUGUUAGGCUUACUUUGAUUACCUGUGCAGUUAAUAGGAGCCUUGUAGGGUUUGGAGGGGUCGGAUUCUUGUCUACUGACCAAAAGAAAAAGCUCCUUUGGGGUAAUAAAAAGAACAAUCCUACAGAAGAGUCCUCCAGUCGUUGGGACUUGCAUCUGUUUCAAGACCUGGAGCGCCAGGAAAAGUUCAACAGACUCAUGGGCGUGAAGGGAACCGUGGCUCCUCCAGAGAACGGACCCGACGACAAAGAUGGAAGCCUCCAAGCAAAGAAAACAGGAGGAGCUCGAUGCACAUCUGGAGAGGCAAUAUGCUGCUGGUCUUCGGGGUCUUGGCUUGUGAUGACAUGACACAUCAAGGAGAAAAUGUCCGAGCAUCUGAAUGCACAAGUCAUACGAUCAUGGACACGAGACGAAUGCCAGUAUCUCAGCCCGGACUCGCUCUUGGCAACGUACAGCGCCGACGACGCUACGGAAAGAAGCGCAUCAGAGACUCUAAUUUGUUGCCUUGGGUAAGCAUACUUGAAUCUAUGCACACCAAGAAAUAAAAUUGAGAUCAACACCUUUUCUCCCGAAAUUUCUUGGGAAUUUGACGACUAACAUCCAAAAAGGUCAUUGCUGAAUUAGAAUUCCGAAGAACACGAGAAAGAAAAAACAAAAGGAAAUCGAACAAUCGAUCACGGCCUCAGAAGAAAGAUAUAGCAUCAGAGAGGCGGCGGCAUCACCGGAUCUCAGAUGGUACGGACAAUACUAUCGCAUCAUCGGCCAAUUGGAGGAACGAAACGGCUGAAGCAAGAAAGAUCUCGAUCGGUUUCCUUAGGGUUUUCGACGCGGAGGAGGCAGAUAAGAGACGAUGUCAGGUCGGUGCUCCGUUUGAUCUUAUAUAUGGGGGCAGGGAAGAAACCCGAACCCUAAAUUUUGAGUGCGUAAUGACGUGAAUACCCUCUUGAUUGGUUAAGCGAAUCGACAUACGAGGCAACCAAUAUAAAAGGUCAAAAAAAAAAGAUAAAUGAGAUACUAAUAUAUCUAUCUGUGCUAUUUGCAGGAAACAAAAAAACAUGCUUCAGAAAUUUAAGUUUUUCUUAAUCAAAAGA